GAUGAAGAACGUAGCGAAAUGCGAUAAGUAAUGUGAAUUGCAGAAUUCAGUGAAUCAUCGAAUCUUUGAACGCACAUUGCGCCCGCCAGUAUUCUGGCGGGCAUGCCUGUUCGAGCGUCAUUACAACCCUCAGGCCCCCGGGCCUGGCGUUGGGGAUCGGCGGAGGCCCCCUGCGGGCACAACGCCGUCCCCCAAAUACAGUGGCGGUCCCGCCGCGGCCUUCUCUGCGUAGUAGCAUACACCUCGCACUGGAGAGCGGCGCGGCCACGCCGUAAAAGAAACGAACUUUCUCAAGGUUGACCUCGGAUCAGGUAGGAAUACCCGCUGAACUUAAGCAUAUCAAUAAGCGGAGGA
rnacentral:misc_RNA from 1 species